rnacentral:rRNA from 1 species
AUCAGAAGGGGAUAACACUUGGAAACAGGUGCUAAUACCGUAUAACAAUCGAAACCGCAUGGUUUCGAUUUGAAAGGCGCUUUCGGGUGUCGCUGAUGGAUGGACCCGCGGUGCAUUAGCUAGUUGGUGAGGUAACGGCUCACCAAGGCGACGAUGCAUAGCCGACCUGAGAGGGUGAUCGGCCACAUUGGGACUGAGACACGGCCCAAACUCCUACGGGAGGCAGCAGUAGGGAAUCUUCGGCAAUGGACGAAAGUCUGACCGAGCAACGCCGCGUGAGUGAAGAAGGUUUUCGGAUCGUAAAACUCUGUUGUUAGAGAAGAACAAGGAUGAGAGUAACUGUUCAUCCCUUGACGGUAUCUAACCAGAAAGCCACGGCUAACUACGUGCCAGCAGCCGCGGUAAUACGUAGGUGGCAAGCGUUGUCCGGAUUUAUUGGGCGUAAAGCGAGCGCAGGCGGUUUCUUAAGUCUGAUGUGAAAGCCCCCGGCUCAACCGGGGAGGGUCAUUGGAAACUGGGAGACUUGAGUGCAGAAGAGGAGAGUGGAAUUCCAUGUGUAGCGGUGAAAUGCGUAGAUAUAUGGAGGAACACCAGUGGCGAAGGCGGCUCUCUGGUCUGUAACUGACGCUGAGGCUCGAAAGCGUGGGGAGCAAACAGGAUUAGAUACCCUGGUAGUCCACGCCGUAAACGAUGAGUGCUAAGUGUUGGAGGGUUUCCGCCCUUCAGUGCUGCAGCUAACGCAUUAAGCACUCCGCCUGGGGAGUACGACCGCAAGGUUGAAACUCAAAGGAAUUGACGGGGGCCCGCACAAGCGGUGGAGCAUGUGGUUUAAUUCGAAGCAACGCGAAGAACCUUACCAGGUCUUGACAUCCUUUGACCACUCUAGAGAUAGAGCUUCCCCUUCGGGGGCAAAGUGACAGGUGGUGCAUGGUUGUCGUCAGCUCGUGUCGUGAGAUGUUGGGUUAAGUCCCGCAACGAGCGCAACCCUUAUUGUUAGUUGCCAUCAUUUAGUUGGGCACUCUAGCAAGACUGCCGGUGACAAACCGGAGGAAGGUGGGGAUGACGUCAAAUCAUCAUGCCCCUUAUGACCUGGGCUACACACGUGCUACAAUGGGAAGUACAACGAGUCGCAAAGUCGCGAGGCUAAGCUAAUCUCUUAAAGCUUCUCUCAGUUCGGAUUGUAGGCUGCAACUCGCCUACAUGAAGCCGGAAUCGCUAGUAAUCGCGGAUCAGCACGCCGCGGU